CUAGACAAGCGCUUGAUAGAAAGCCCCUAUGGGAUCAGCCACCUUCUAUAGAGGGCCGCCUUCUAACACAUUAUGGUUAACCAUUUCGAUUGGGACUCGUUUUGUCUGCAUAUUUUCAUAAAAAAGUUUCCGCAUUUCUGAAAUACCCAGUCAUGAGUGCGGAGAAAUUGAAGGACAAUCCUGAAAUAUAAUAAAGAGAAAGGAGCAUUUGUGGAUUGGGUGGGGGCAAUGUUGUUUGUUGUGGAUAACCCAGAAAUGACGU
rnacentral:lncRNA from 1 species